rnacentral:rRNA from 1 species
UACGAAGGGGGCUAGGCGUUGUUCGGAAUUACUGGGCGUAAAGCGCACGUAGGCGGAUUGUUAAGUUAGGGGUGAAAGUCCCAGGGCUCAACCCUGGAACUGCCUUUAAUACUGGCAAUCUCGAGUCCGAGAGAGGUGAGUGGAAUUCCGAGUGUAGAGGUGAAAUUCGUAGAUAUUCGGAGGAACACCAGUGGCGAAGGCGGCUCACUGGCUCGGUACUGACGCUGAGGUGCGAAAGCGUGGGGAGCAAACAGG